GUCAAGCUUCCAAGAAAAGCCCUAUACCCGUUAAGGCAUGAUUACCUGUACCCGAAACCGACACAGGUGGGGUGGUAGAGAAUACCGAGGGGCGCGAGGUAACUCUCUCUAAGGAACUCGGCAAAAUGACCCCGUAACUUCGGGAGAAGGGGUGCCAGCGCGAGCUGGUCGCAGUGAAUAGGCCCAGGCGACUGUUUACCAAAAACACAGGUCUCCGCUAAGUCGCAAGACGAUGUAUGGGGGCUGACGCCUGCCCAGUGCCGGAAGGUUAAGGAAGUUGGUCAGCGCAAGCGAAGCUAACGACUGAAGCCCCGGUGAACGGCGGCCGUAACAAUAACGGUCCUAAGGUAGCGAAAUUCCUUGUCGGGUAAGUUCCGACCCGCACGAAAGGCGUAACGAUCUGGGCGCUGUCUCGGAGAGAGGCUCGGCGAAAUAGAAUUGUCUGUGAAGAUGCGGACUACGUGCACCCGGACAGAAAGACCCUAUGAAGCUUUACUGUAGCUUGGUAUUGUGCUCGGGCUCGCAAUGCGCAGGAUAGGUGGGAGGCUUUGAUCCAUUGCUUGUGGGUGAUGGUGAGCCACUGGUGAGAUACCACUCUUUGCGAGCUAGGGUUCUAACGGUUACCCGUCAUCCGGGAACCGGACAGUAUCUGGUGUGCAGUUUGACUGGGGCGGUCGCCUCCUAAAAGGUAACGGAGGCGCGCAAAGGUUUGCUCAGGCUGGUUGGAAAUCAGCCGACGAGUGUAAAAGCAGAAGCAAGCUUGACUGUGAGACCUACAAGUCGAACAGGGAGGAAACUCGGCUUUAGUGAUCCGACGGUUCUGAGUGGAAGGGCCGUCGCUCAACGGAUAAAAGUUACUCUAGGAUAACAGGCUGAUCUCCCCCAAGAGUUCACAUCGACGGGGAGGUUUGGCACCUCGAUGUCGGCUCAUCGCAACCUGGGGCUGAAGUCGGUCCCAAGGGUUGGGCUGUUCGCCCAUUAAAGCGGUACGCGAGUUGGGUUCAGAACGUCGUGAGACAGUUCGGUCCAUAUCCGGUGCAUGCGCAGGAAUAUUGAGAGGAUUUCUCCCUAGUACGAGAGGACCGGGGGGAACGCACCUCUGGUGUACCAGUUAUCGUGCCAACGGUAAACGCUGGGUAGCCAUGUGCGGAGUGGAUAACCGCUGAAAGCAUCUAAGUGGGAAGCCCACCUCAAGAUGAGUAUUCCCAUGGCUUAAGCCAGUAAGGUCACGGGAAGAACACCCGUUGAUAGGCUCUAUGUGGAAGCGCAGUAAUGCGUGAAGCAGAGGAGUACUAAUAGACC
rnacentral:rRNA from 1 species